ensembl:lncRNA uncharacterized LOC115017900
ACUCUAUUUGACUCAAUGACACCAUCAUGGGAUGCUCAGGGCUGUUGAUUUUGGGUUUUGUCCUAAAUGUUGCUCACUGCUUGGACAUUCUGGGUCUGAGCGAAGAGCCAGUUCUUGAGAUCACACACAACAUCACAGCAGUCCUGGGAGAAGACGUCUACCUGAGAUGUAUAUAUCUGGGCGAGAGCAAGAUCGAGAGCGCCGAGUGGAAACGAAAGAUUAACUCCAAAAUGAAAACCAAGCGACUGGCAGGAUUUACUGAUGGUAAACCCUUUAGCCGCGAAAACAUUUCAAGCCCAGUCUCUCUCACCAACCUCACAGUUAAGAUGAAGGUGCACAGUGUGGAAGCAGAGGGAGAAUACCUCUGUGAGUUUGAAUCAGAGGCAGAGAGUGAUUCUGGCAGCGUAUUCCUCACUGUAAUAGCUCGGCCUGAUAUUCAGAUCCUGGUGAAUGCAGAGACCAUAAACGGCUCUGACUACCAGGCGGUGUCGUGCUCUGCGGUCGGUGGCCGGCCCGUGCCUCAGAUCACCUGGUUGGUCGAUGGCCGUUCUCCUUCAGAUUACCCUUUUACUGUGAGCGUGAGUGAAACUGUGCACUCAAACGGCACCUCCACCCUGAGCAGCAUCCUCCGCUUCCCCACCCAUCUGCAAGACGAGGACAGUGUGACCUGCGUGGUUCAACACCCGACCCUCCCAAACCCAAAACUCACCAGAGUGAGGGUGGAAACCUACACGAGGCCAAAUGUGACCAUUAAAGCAGAGAUGGUACAACAAGGAGGAAGUGAGUUCUGGGUGGUCUCGUGCAUUUCGUCUGGAGGGAGACCUGACGCUGACAUUGCCUUGGCUUUGAACACGGACGAAGAGCUGCAGAGAGAGAACAACACAGACUCAGACACACAGACAAACUCAGUCCUCCUCCCUGUGACCGUGUACGAGGGGCGCAAUGUCACCUGUGUGUUUGACCACCCCACAUUUACACACAAAGUGUCGCGAGUCAUAACACUGCCGUCUUUCUAUUUGUCAGGAGUUCAGCUAUUGCUUUCAGGGCUGGGAAGUAACCGUGACGACUUGCAAGGCACUGAAUCUUUAGAGCUGCAGGACGGACAGAGUGACACCGUCAUCAACCUGCAAGUCACGGGGAAUGUGCCACAUUACAACGUUACCUGCAAAAAAGAUGGUGGGCCCUUGCCUGAGGGUGUGGAGCUGGUUGGCAGCAACCUCACAGUUCAUGGUCCUGUGAAUCAUCAGCAUGCCGGCCUGUAUGAAUUUCUAUUCUCGUAUCGCCAUCUUAAAGCAACGCUCAAGUUUAAUGUCACAGUUACACAGCCUGUUCCUCCCACAAUACACGUUGACUUUCAUACUAAAGAUGGACACAAGGUGAUUGAGUGCUCAGCAGCUGAUGCUGUUCCUGCAGCCAACAUGUCCUGGCUUCUACCAGAGGGUGUGUCUGAAGUCUCUUGGUUCAAUUUCACUUCUCAUAAUGGAAGCCACUCCGUCAGGGGAGUUUUACUCCUCCCUGCCUGCUCGCCUUGGGAGCUCACUGCAGAGUGCGUGAUAAAUCACCCUGCGUUUGAGAAGCCAGAGAACAGAAGCAUAACCCUCCCUCUUUGCGCUCGCCCCAACAUCACCAUCAACUCAAGCUUUGAGUGGAAAGACGGUGACAAGUUCACAAAGGUGGACUGCUCUGUGGACAGCGUUGCCCCUGCAGCAACCAUUACCUGGCAUGUUGGAAACAGUGACAACAGCAUCAGUUAUCUGUCUGAGACCGAAGUCCAGGCUGAUGGUUUGGUAUCGGCCCGGAGCUCUGCGCACUUUGUGUCUUCUUUGUAUUCUGGUCAGAAUUUGACGUGCACGGUGGAGCAUCCGAGCCUGGAGGCACCAGAAAAAAGAACAAUACACAUUCUUGUGCAGAAAGCCCCUCUGAUGAGUGUGUCUGUGGUGAGACAGCAGGACUCUCCCCUCUGGUUGGCAGUGUGUGACUGCAGAGGGGAGGAUGUCGAGACCAACCUCGCCUGGGUCCUUCCAGAAAAUGUCAAAGGCCAAACAUCCCUGCAUUUAAAGAAUGAAGGGCGUGUCCGGAAAGCCAGGCUGACUUAUCUGUUCCCUCUGGCCCUUCAUGAGGGGCAGGACUUGACCUGUGCGUAUCAUUUUGAACAUGGAGCAACGGAGAAAAAGACCAUUCACAUCCCCAGAUACUAUAUCUCCUCUGUGAGAGUCUUAAACCACACGACUCCUCUGCAGAGCCGCUACGGUGAUGAAGCAAUCACACACAGACUGGCUCUCCAGGAAGAUCAUCACAGCCAGAGAGUACUGCUUCGAGUCGAAGGCAACGUACCAGAAUACAACCUCAACUGUAAAAGGAGUGAUGGCUCGUUUGUCCAAAUGGAUGGGACUGCAAUGGUCUUCCAGUCAGAGCUCACUGAGCAGGAUGAAGGCCUUUACAGCUGCCAGGCGUCAUUCUAUCACCACACAGCCACAGUCAACAUUCAAGUGGAGGUCACGAGCGAAGACAAAUUGUUUGCCCUUGUGGUCAUGAUCUGCAUGUCUUCGGCCUUGGCCAUCAUCCCCAUCUUCCUCGUCAUCCUCUGGGUGUACUGCAAAGGAAAUAGCAAGAAUAAAUAUAAGAAGAAGGAUUCUCUCUCGGCCUUGACCUCUCUGAUGCAAGAGCCCGGCUCUCCUGAGGUGAAGAAGCCAGCAGUGACAGAAAACAACAGUAAGGACUACGCUCAGCUGGUCAGUUACUCCAUAGUCAUUGAUGUGAAGACUACAGUGUGAACAUUUAUAAAAAGAUUAAAAUGGAAAAACCCUUUGGAUUACACAUUUUGCUUUACAUUGUGCACAAACUAUAUAAAGGCUUACUGGAACUACAGCAUUGUUUAUGAUUUAAGUGUAUGUUUAGAGUUCAGCUUUAGAAGUCAGAUCAUUUUUAUGUACUGAAAUAUGAGUUAUAACGCAUUAAUUUAGCACUUUUUCAUCUUACUUGAAUUUUGUACGUUUUUUAUGGAAAUUGUAUAUUCUGAGUAUUUGUCUAUAAAAUCACAC